rnacentral:rRNA from 1 species
GACGAACGCUGGCGGCGUGCUUAACACAUGCAAGUCGAACGGAAAGGCCCUGCUUUUGUGGGGUGCUCGAGUGGCGAACGGGUGAGUAACACGUGAGUAACCUGCCCUUGACUUUGGGAUAACUUCAGGAAACUGGGGCUAAUACCGGAUAGGAGCUCCUGCUGCAUGGUGGGGGUUGGAAAGUUUCGGCGGUUGGGGCUGGACUCGCGGCUUAUCAGCUUGUUGGUGGGGUAGUGGCUUACCAAGGCUUUGACGGGUAGCCGGCCUGAGAGGGUGACCGGCCACAUUGGGACUGAGAUACGGCGCAGACUCCUACGGGAGGCAGCAGUGGGGAAUAUUGCACAAUGGGCGGGAGCCUGAUGCAGCAACGCCGCGUGCGGGAUGACGGCCUUCGGGUUGUAAACCGCUUUCGCCUGUGACGAAGCGUGAGUGACGGUAAUGGGUAAAGAAGCACCGGCUAACUACGUG